rnacentral:tRNA from 1 species
GCCUCGGUGAUCUAAUGGUUUAGGACGCUCGUACGGAAUUCAAGAGAUCCGGGUUCAAGUCCCGGCCAAAGUU